rnacentral:lncRNA from 1 species
AAUACCACUGAGAGGUGUAGACAGAAGAGAAGCUGUGUCAGUCAUUCCACAAUGGGAAGUUAUUGGUGACCUUUGAAAGGGCAUUUUUGGUGGAGACGUAGAGGUGACAGACUGAUUGGAGUGGGCUCAAAGCGUUCACUCAUCCUUACCGCUUACUAAAAUGGAAUAAAUCAAGAACUUCAAAAGCUUCUGGUCAGGGCAGAUAGUAACUCACCCUGUCUGCAUUACCUCCUCUUACGUCCUACCUGGAAUUUUCUACACGUUCCUAGUUGAUGGGAAUACGCACUAAGCUCCAACCAUCAGGAGCCCUGUCAUCAAAAUUUUGAGAUUAUAGCAGUUCUGGCAAGGAAAGCUUCAGCCUUUAGGAGGACAAAAAAAUGUUUACAUAGGAAGGUAGAGAUCAUCCAAAUUGAGUCCUUCUAUUUUACAUGUGGGGAAGUUGAGACCCAAAUCCCAGAGGUGACUUAUCGAAGGUUACACAGCUGCUCUUGCCUCUCUUCUCCCCCCAAGUGUACCUGGCAGGACUUCUGUGGCUUUUGAGCCUUUGGAAACAUUCCUUCCAAAUCCUGCUGGAGGAGCAGGGGUUGCUAAAACCACAGAUGGAAACUCGACACAGGGAGAGGCCGGGACUCCAGAAAAACUACUUUGGCCUCCGGUGAUGUGUUACCAUCAUGUGGCCCCACCACUCGACUUUACUGGUGCCAAAGUAAGAAGUCCGGUGAGUGGUCCAGGGUCACGGAGGGAGGUGGAGGCAGAUCUGCCUUCCCCGUCGGGGCUCCUUCCUUGACAAGAAACGAGUUGAGGUGCUGGGCUUGUUGAUUGAAAGCUCAGUGGCCUCUCAAUUUAGUGAUCUUUUUCCUGUACCAAAGCUAGUCUUUUUUCCUGAUACAUGAAAACCUCAAGGCUCCUUCUCUCCUUUCCGCCUCUUUCAGAGUCCCCCCCCCCCAUAGAUUCCAUCCUCCUAAAUUCUUUGGGUCAUAUACUAUGCUGUCCUGUGACCAUGCCUCCUGCUAGUGUGUCCCAGCUUCUAGCAUUGGCAAAGAUUUUCUAGAAAGAUUGUGAAGAUGCAGAUCCCCUGGUCUGAGCAUCAGCCUUCAGACGUUCUGGAUCAGGAAUCUGAAGUUUUAAUAGGAGUCCUCUGUGAUUCUGAUGCAGGGGAGCCAGAAAUCUCACCUUAACAAUCUCUCCCUUACAAUCACCCACCUCCACUGGGGGGCAGUUUUCUGCUUGUGUAAUCGAGGUCUUUGGAAUUCCCACCCCAUCAAAUACUAGCUCACCUGAGCUUGGUCACUGAGCAUUUGUUAAAGCUGAUUUCACACCUGUCAAAUCUGAAUACCAGUUCCUAUAUUCUAAGGGGGUCAUGGAAGAUUAAAAACACAAUGUUCAGGGGCGCCUGGGUGGCACAGCGGUUAAGCGUCUGCCUUCUGCUUAGGGCGUGAUCCCGGCGUUAUGGGAUCGAGCCCCACAUCGGGCUCUUCCGCUGUGAGCCUGCUUCUUCCUCUCCCACUCCCCCUGCUUGUGUUCCCUCUCUCGCUGGCUGUCUCUAUCUCUGUCGAAUAAAUAAAUAAAAUCUUUAAAAAAAAAAAACAAUGUUCAGAGUAGUGAAGAGUAGUUCUGACCAUUGGUAGUUACAGAGAAUAGGGCAUAAAA